rnacentral:piRNA from 1 species
UACCUCACCAAGCAUGAUGUGGAAAGAC